GAUGAACGCUGGCGGCGUGCCUAAUACAUGCAAGUCGAGCGAACGGACGAGAAGCUUGCUUCUCUGAUGUUAGCGGCUGACGGGUGAGUAACACGUGGAUAACCUACCUAUAAGACUGGGAUAACUUCGGGAAACCGUAGCUAAUACCGGAUAAUAUUUUGAACCGCAUGGUUCAAAAGUGAAAGACGGUCUUGCUGUCACUUAUAGAUGGAUCCGCGCUGCAUUAGCUAGUUGGUAAGGUAACGGCUUACCAAGGCGACGAUGCAUAGCCGACCUGAGAGGGUGAUCGGCCACACUGGAACUGAGACACGGUCCAGACUCCUACGGGAGGCAGCAGUAGGGAAUCUUCCGCAAUGGGCGAAAGCCUGACGGAGCAACGCCGCGUGAGUGAUGAAGGUCUUCGGAUCGUAAAACUCUGUUAUUAGGGAAGAAAAUCUGUGUAAGUAACUGUGGACAUCCUGACGGUACCUAAUCAGAAAGCCACGGCUAACUACGUG
rnacentral:rRNA from 1 species